CUCCAUAAGUGAGAUCUGUCAUGUGACGGCUGAUAAUCUCCUUCAGCUGAUUAAAAGUGGGUCUCGCUUUCGGAUCCGAAUUCCAACAAUUGGUCAUAAUUUCUCCAAACAAAUUGGGUGCAUAUUCUGGUUUUUCCAUACGGAAAAAUUCAAAGUAUUUCAUGUACUUUAUUCCCACCUGGAUACGGGACUUUGCCUAGCGUAAAGAGUUCCCAUAGAAGAACUCCGUACGACCAUACGUCAGAUUCGGACGAGAAAAUGCGAUCUGUUAACGAUUCAAUUGCCAUCCAUUUGACCGGCAUUAAUCCCUGCGCAUUAAAACACAAUUAUGCAGAUACGUAAUGCCAUCCCGAAAUCGGCCAAUUUGACAACCCCAUCAUCGGCUAGCAAAACAUUUCGCGCCGCCAAAUCACCAUGGAGAACCUGAAAAUUGCUCAAGUACGUAAUCAAUUUAUCUUAUCAGACUUUUCGAACUCAAUAGGAAUUUCAGCUCUUACCUGUUUGCUAACCAAAUAUUCCAUUCCAUGAGCUAUUUGGAAAGACCAGGAAAUUAAAUCGCAAGUAGAAAUGUAUCGUUCUAAAACGUAAUUUAGUGCUGGUGGCUGAUUCUGAUAGAACGGUUGUGUUGGCGAUUGGCAUCGA